UUUGGUUCCUCCACUUGAAUAGCACAAGCAACACCAGUUUCAGCUUUCUUACCAUCUCCAAGCUCAUCAAUCUCUUCUUUUUCCAAGCAUAUCUCUGCCGUUUGCUUUGCAUUAGAUAAUUUAUCCUUAGAAGGCAAUGUCAAAGAUGUUGUCUGAAUUUGAUCUUUGGGUUCCUCAUUUUGAAGACCCUGAUCAACUAUGGUUUCUUCUACUGAAACAACCUUGGGCUCUGUCUCUUCUUCCUUUUGCAAGCUUACCUCUUCCAUUGUUUUUGUUUCCGAUGAAUCCUCUGAACUCUCAUGUUUAACUAUUUCAGCAACCUCUUGUAUUUGUUCUUCUAUCUUCUCACUCAAUUGUGUGGUUUCAAUUUCUUGCUUGGAAGCCAAUGUCGUGGUAGAAGUUUGAACAC
rnacentral:lncRNA from 1 species